AGUAUGUUUUGGCUGUGUCCCCAUUCAAAUCUUAACUUGAAUUGUAUCUCCCAGAAUUCCCACAUGUUGUGAGAGGGACCUAGGGGGAGGUAAUUGAAUUACGGGGGCCGGUCUUUCCCAUGCUAUUCUCGUAAUAGUGAGUAAGUCUCACGAGAUCUGAUGCGUUUAUCAGGGAUUUCCGCUUUUGCUUCCUCUUCAUUUUUCUCUUGCCACCACCGUGAGAGAGGCACCUUUCGCCUCCCACCAUGAUUCUGAGGCCUCCCCAGCUACGUGGAACUUGACCACAUUAAGAUGGAACUGAAGGAAUGAAAAGGGACAAAGUCAAUGACAAUGAAGAAAAUCAGAAAAGACCAUCGACGACGAAUGAGAGACUUCCACAAAUUUAUGCAAGAGGAAAGGUGGGGAGAGACUUUCAUUUCUGGGAGUGCAGUAGAUUGAAUAUUCUGCAAGGUCCUGCUGCUAAAAACUGAAUCCUACAUAAAUUACAACCAACAUGACUUUAAAUGCCUUGCUGGGAUCAGAAGAAAGUGAGGGAAAUCUCCAAAAGCCAGAAGUCAAAAAAAAAAAGAAGGAAUGAAGGAGGAAAAGGAGGGAGAAAAGACAAAGAAAAAGAAAAAGUGAGCCAAACACAGAGGAGUAAGCAGUGAUCAGUAUGAAGAAAUUUCACCCUUCAUGUGGUAUAUGGUUCUAAAACCACCAAGAGAUGGAAUUGUGCAUAAUAAAAAGAACAGGACAUACAAGAAAGCUGGGAUUGGAGAAAACACUCCAAACCUGUAUAGUCUCAUAAAAAAUUUACUGAACUGUAAUAACAAAAGUAAAUAAACACAUACACAAAUGCUACUGCCAUUUUUUGUUUUCUAUAAAUAAAUAAUAUUGUAAUCAUAGACAAAACAUUUAAACGUGCUUGCUGUGGUCAAAUGCUGUGGAGAAGAGGUAGUAAGAAGGGACAACGUCAUUCUCAGGCUGAGAUGUGGUGACCCCCGAGGUGGAAGGUUGUGGCUCAUUGUCUGCAUUUCUUUCUUUUACUCUGGCUUGAAAUAGAACCCUACCUUUGUUGUCUUCCAGUUUCUUCCUUUCAUAAAGAAGCUGUAUGUGCAACUCCAAAGGCAUCCAGACACCAAGUGCCAUCCUGCUGCUCUGAGCACUGGAGUCUGCAGCUCCAAUCCUUGGCAAACCCUUCCCAGUCCCAAUUAGCACAGAUGAUAACUGGGACGUGAUCAUCUC
rnacentral:lncRNA from 10 species